AGUUAUUAUAGUAGGCCGAAAACUUUGUUAAAACAUCAAUCUUUUGUCUCCUCCAAACUCAAUCUCACAUUUAUGAGGUGGAAACCCUAGCACUAUGAUCUUUCUCCACCUUUGGUUGUUGAUUGUUAUAGAUCAUUCGAAGUAAGGGGAAGGAAGAGAUUUCAGGUACUGGACUCUAAGGUUAUUGUGCUUAAGUCUAGUGAUGUUCAGCCAGUGCUAGGAUGAAUCAACUAGG